CUUGAGUAAAGUUUGGAAAUGUAUACUGCCUGUUCUGAACCUUUACUGUAUCCAUCCCAUUUUGGGAUGUGGUAGUUAUUUUUGAAAAGCCACUGUUAAACUGCAUUCACCAUCCAAUCAGAGCAAUGCUGUUCUUACUUCAUCAAGAUGCUUAAGAGACGUGUAUGCCAUUUCGUGACUGAAGGGACAAUGGAUUGAAUAAACGAAUGAUGCCGAUAAGGAUCCACGGAAUUCAUGCUGAGCAUCAGAAAAAGUGCAUCCCCCACCCCACCCCGUGUACCCACAGCUCAGCUCUCCACAAGCCAGGAGCAAGGAAACAGGAUGUGCCUGGGGCCCACCUGUGAGACGCUUGACUUUCCAACAACAGAACCAUUCAUCUGCUCCAAAGGCCUUGCAGAAAUUCUUAAAUUGUGGUUGUCUCAUAAGGAAUGUGGGAAAGGCAGCCGGCUGCAGUGGCCGAGACAUAAUGCCAAGAUAAAACAUGGGCUUUCCAGCUAGUGGUAAAGAACCCACCUGCCAGUGAAGGAGAUGGAAGAGAUGCAGGUUUGAUCCCUGGGUCGGAAAGAUCCCCUAGAGUACAAAUGGCAACCCACUCCAGUAUUCUUACCUGGAGAAUCCCGUGGACAGAGGAGCCUGGCGGGUUACAGUCCAUGGGGUCGCAAAGAGUCAGACAUAACUGAACGAUUGAGCACAUGACAUAUCUCACAUUGAGAGGUAGGUACUGUUAUCCCCUUCAUGGUCUGAGUGAUGUAACAGGCCCAGAGAGGUUAAGUAACUUGUUCAUAGUCACUCAGCUUGUAGGUGCUGGAGCAGGAUUCCAGUCUGGCUCCAGUGGACAUGCUGUUAACAACCACAGGCAUCUUUCUCUUCAAACCCUUUCUUCUUGCUGUGGCUUUGGAUUGCUUCCUGCUGGCUUCUUCUCCAUGGAGACAAAUCUGUUCAUCUCCCCAAACCCAGCUUGAAGGCCACCUUCCUACGGAGCCUUCCAUGGCCUCCUCCUCAGGGCCAGGCUUGCCCUUGAUGUUUCCUGGCUUUUGCUAACCCUAACAAGUCCCUGGAAGUCCCUGGAGGCAGAAACGUUGACUCAUUUGUCUGUCUGUCUUCUCCAGGAUCGGUCACACCUGAGAUCAUUGGGAACAAUGAACUGGAUCCAAAGAAGAAGCCAUGAUGUUCUGCAUGAUUGAUAAAGCCAGCCUGUUCGUCUCCUUCCUAAAAGAAAUCGGGGCAAUCCAUCAAACAUCGGGGAUUUCCCAACUAUGGUGCAGUGGAUGGUGGGAGCAUCUGGAAACUAACCAUUGCUGGACGUCAUGAGGGAUAAUAGUUCCCUCCACCAGGGAUUGAACCUGCGCGCCUGUAGCGAAAGCAUGGAGUCUUAACCACUGGACCCCUAGGCAAGUCCCCUAAAAGCCAAUUGUGCAGUAAGUUUUAGUGGCCCCUAUUUUAUGAAUGAGGAAACUGGGAUACAGAGAGGUUGAGUAACUUGCCAGAAAUGACACAGCUAGUAGAGGAGCUCAGAUCCAGUUUCAUUUCAUUUAAGCCCAAACUCUUACCCACUUUGGUCUUGGGGCUCAGGCAGCCCUGCUUCUUUCCAGAGCCUCAUACACCUCCCUCCACUCACCUACCCCCUCCCACCUGCUCGGGAUCAAGGUUGACAGGGUCCAGAUGGAGGCAGGCAGGUCUAAUGAGAUGUGAAGGGUAUUGCUCACAGGGAGCCAAGAGUGACUGGGAGAGCAUCCCAGACUCCCGCAUCCCUGCUUGAGAUGUCAGGAGCACACAGUAUAGCCGUACAUUAAAGACGAGCUCGGCCCCAGAGCCCGCGUCGUCAGGGAACUUGUCCAGCUCCCGUCCCUCCCGCCUCUGUGGUUGGUGUGUCUGGUGAACCAGGCCCCUCAAGCAGCCCCAUCAUCCUUCUGGGUUUUCAGAACAAGUGACUUAGUUUUUCAAUGCUUUCACUGUUUUUCUCCCUUUAAAAACAAAACAACAAAACUUGAUUUCAAAUGAAGGAAUGAAAUUGUGCCAUUUGUUGAUAUCUGGGUGGCCCUAGAGACUCUCAUACAGAGUGAAGUAAGUCAGAAAGAGAAAUCAAAUAUUGUAUUGUUGUUGUUCAAUUGCUAAGUCAUGUCCGACUUUUUGCGACCCCAUGGACUGCAGCAUGCCA